rnacentral:rRNA from 1 species
AUGCUUAACACAUGCAAGUCGAACGGAAACGACAACAUUGACUCUUCGGAGGAUUUGUUGGGCGUCGAGCGGCGGACGGGUGAGUAAUGCCUAGGAAAUUGCCUUGAUGUGGGGGAUAACCAUUGGAAACGAUGGCUAAUACCGCAUAAUGCCUACGGGCCAAAGAGGGGGACCUUCGGGCCUCUCGCGUCAAGAUAUGCCUAGGUGGGAUUAGCUAGUUGGUGAGGUAAUGGCUCACCAAGGCGACGAUCCCUAGCUGGUCUGAGAGGAUGAUCAGCCACACUGGAACUGAGACACGGUCCAGACUCCUACGGGAGGCAGCAGUGGGGAAUAUUGCACAAUGGGCGAAAGCCUGAUGCAGCCAUGCCGCGUGUAUGAAGAAGGCCUUCGGGUUGUAAAGUACUUUCAGUUGUGAGGAAGGGUGUGUAGUUAAUAGCUGCACAUCUUGACGUUAGCAACAGAAGAAGCACCGGCUAACUCCGUGCCAGCAGCCGCGGUAAUACGGAGGGUGCGAGCGUUAAUCGGAAUUACUGGGCGUAAAGCGCAUGCAGGUGGUUCAUUAAGUCAGAUGUGAAAGCCCGGGGCUCAACCUCGGAACUGUAUUUGAAACUGGUGAACUAGAGUGCUGUAGAGGGGGGUAGAAUUUCAGGUGUAGCGGUGAAAUGCGUAGAGAUCUGAAGGAACACCAGUGG